AGCGAACGCUGGCGGCAUGCCUAACACAUGCAAGUCGAACGAACCUUUCGGGGUUAGUGGCGGACGGGUGAGUAACACGGUGGAACGUGCCUUUAGGUCCGGAAUAACUCAGGGAAACUUGUUCUAAUACCGAAUGUGCCCUUCGGGGGAAAGAUUAAUCGCCUUUAGAGCGGCCCGCGUCUGGUUAGCUAGUUGGUUGAGGUAAUGGCUCACCAAGGCGACGAUCAGUAGCUGGUCUGAGAGGAUGAUCAGCCACAUUGGGACUGAGACACGGCCCAAACUCCUACGGGAGGCAGCAGUGGGGAAUCUUGCGCAAUGGGCGAAAGCCUGACGCAGCCAUGCCGCGUGAAUGAUGAAGGUCUUAGGAUUGUAAAAUUCUUUCAGCGGGGACGAUAAUGACGGUACCCGGAGAAGAAGCCCCGGCUAACUUCGUG
rnacentral:rRNA from 1 species